CCUACGGGGGGCAGCAGUAAGGAAUAUUGGUCAAUGGACGAAAGUCUGAACCAGCCAUCCCGCGUGCAGGAUGAAAGCCCUAUGGGUUGUAAACUGCUUUUAGCAGAGAAGAAAAGCUUUCAUUAAUGAGAGUCUGACGGUAUCUGCAGAAUAAGCACCGGCUAACUCCGUGCCAGCAGCCGCGGUAAUACGGAGGGUGCGAGCGUUAUCCGGUUGUACUGGGUCGAAGGCGUGCGAUGGCGGAGGAGGAGAAAUCCUGUCGCUUAACGAUAAAAUUGCCAAGGAUACUGGUACUCUUGAAUUGGGUUGAGGUUAGCGGAAUGUGACAUGUAGCGGUGAAAUGCAUAGAGAUGUCAUGGAACACCAAUUGCGAAGGCAGCUAACUGGGCCUUGAUUGACGCUGAGGCACGAAAGCGUGGGUAGCGAACAGGAUUAGAUACCCCUGUAGUC
rnacentral:rRNA from 1 species